CCUCUUUCAGUGAUAUGAAGUUUAAACCAGGUGCUAUAAUCUCUCACUUGAUUUUUGGUUCUCAGGAAGGUGCUUUUUUGUGGGGUUAGUUGCUCAGUUUGGUGUUUCUGCAGGGAGGAUGAUCACUGGAAGCUUCUUUUUUUUUUUUUUUUUUUUUUUUGAGACGGAGUCUUGCUCUGUCUUUAGGCUGGAGUACAGUGGUGAGAUCUCAGCUCACUGCAACAUCCGCCUCCCGAGUUCAAGCGAUUCUCCUGCCUCAGCUUCCCAAGUAGCUGGGACUACAGGCAUGCGCCACCACGCCCAGCUAGUUUUUUUAUUUUUCAUAGGGAUGGGGCUUUACCAUGUUGGCCUGGAUGGUCUCAAUCUUCUCACCUCAUGAUUCGCCCGCCUCGGCCUCCCAAAGUGCUGGGCUCCCAAUCUAAAAACAAAACAAAAUGAAAUAAAACGAAACAUUUGCUCGGACCCCACAUUCCCCUCCAGCCAUCACCCCAUUUCUCUGCUCCUCAUUAGAAACAAAACUUCAUGAAAAUGUUGUCUAAACCAAUGGUUUCUUUCCAGGGCCCCCAUUCUUUCUAGGGACUUUGGGAUUCCAGGCGUGAGCCACCUUUUAAACGUGUCUACAGGUGAUCAUUUUACUCUUCUACUGCCACCACCCUGGACAGAGCCUUAUCUUUUUUUUUUUUUUUUUUUUUUUUUGAGAUGGAGUCUCCCUCUAUCGCCCAGGCAUCCUCAGAAGCCCGUGGCUGGUACCACUAUAUUAUUACACACUUUUUUUUUUAAUGUGUGAGGAAAUCCAGGCACAGGGUUUUAGAUUCUAUAGCAGGGAGACAGAAACUCAGGCCGUUAACAUGACCCAUGUAGAUACUCUUUUGGCUCCCAUCUCUCUAGUUACAGUAUGGUUUCAUCGCUGUUCACUCUCAAAACUGAAAAAGAAAUUUCAUGAAACAGUACUUAGGUCUUACUACAUAGAAUGCAUUCUAAUACUUUCUAUUUUAUUUCUUAAUGCUUUUUAUGAACUACUAAAAUCAGCAUGCAAUUUGAGAGACACUACAAGGUUACAUGAAUUUAUAAACUUAGUUAGAGUGAGAAUAUACCAUACAAACUUUCAUUUUUCUAUUUAAAAAAUAUUUUUUGUAGAGACGGGGUCUCACUAUAUUGCCCAGGCUGGCCUCAAACUCCUGGGCUCAAGCGAUCCUCCUGCCUCAGCAUCCCAGAAUGCUGGGAUUACAGGCUUGAGCCACCUUGCCCAGCUUGUGGUGGCUCACGCCUGGAAUCCCAGCACUUUGGGAGGCCGAGGCAGGAAGAUCACCUGAGGUCAGGAGUUCAAGACCAGCCUGGUCAACAUGGUGAAACCCAGUCUCUACUAAAAAUACAAAAAUUAGCUGGGUGUGGUGGCGCACGCCUGUAGUCCCAGCUACUCAAAAAAUGAAAUGCCCAGGGUGAGGAAAUCUAUAAAUAUUUGAGAUUUUUACAAAGAAAACUAUAAAUUUAAGUGAAAAAAGACUUAAGAACAAAUGAGAAAAUUUUUCCAGGUUGAAUCAUCAUUCUCCAAUUUGCCCUAGUUUGGAUGAUAAAUUGUCAUCUGACCAUUCAGCAGUUGCAAGACUAGCUGUUUUUU
rnacentral:lncRNA from 1 species